GCUAGCGUUGCUCGGAAUCACUGGGCGUAAAGCGCACGUAGGCGGUCUCUUAAGUCGGUGGUGAAAGCCUGGAGCUCAACUCCAGAACUGCCUUCGAUACUGAGAGUCUUGAGUUCGGGAGAGGUGAGUGGAACUGCGAGUGUAGAGGUGAAAUUCGUAGAUAUUCGCAAGAACACCAGUGGCGAAGGCGGCUCACUGGCCCGAUACUGACGCUGAGGUGCGAAAGCGUGGGGAGCAAACAGG
rnacentral:rRNA from 1 species